GCGGACGUGGCGAAAUCGGUAGACGCAGCGGACUUAAAAUCCGCUUCCCAUCGGGAGUGCGGGUUCGACCCCCGCCGUCCGUACCA
rnacentral:tRNA from 1 species